UCAUCUGAGGCUGGACAGAGAGAUACUCGGCAUCGCUAGGUACCGGGAUGACAUCAUCACGUCCCUGCUGGUGUAGCUGCAUCUGAAUGACCCGACACCCAGACGUCUCAGCUGCCAGGGAUGAGUCCAGCAUUUAGACGAGCCCAUACUGACACACAUAUAAGUUUACAGAGCAGAACAAAACAUCCCUUUGAACAUGGCAGAAACUUAAUAAAUCCAGAACCUUCAGGAAUUAGAGGGCACUUUAUGGUAUAAACUGGAGUCAACCUAAAAAGGUUUUAAAUAAAUAACAUUGUUUCA